rnacentral:rRNA from 2 species
GGACUACAGGGGUUUCUAAUCCUGUUUGAUCCCCACGCUUUCGUGCCUCAGCGUCAAUGUCAGUUUAGCGAGCUGCCUUCGCAAUUGGUGUUCUGUGUCAUAUCUAAGCAUUUCACCGCUACACGACACAUUCCGCCCACCUCAACUGAAUUCAAGAUUAAUAGUAUCAAUGGCAGUUCCCGAGUUAGGCUCGGGGCUUUCACCACUGACUUAUCAACCCGCCUACGCACCCUUUAAACCCAGUAAAUCCGGAUAACGCUUGCACCCUCCGUAUUACCGCGGCUGCUGGCAC